rnacentral:rRNA from 1 species
GACGAACGCUGGCGGCGUGCUUAACACAUGCCAGUCGAACGGAAAGGCCCUGCUUUUGUGGGGUGCUCGAGUGGCGAACGGGUGAGUAACACGUGAGUAACCUGCCCUUGACUUUGGGAUAACUUCAGGAAACUGGGGCUAAUACCGGAUAGGAGCUCCUGCUGCAUGGUGGGGGUUGGAAAGUUUCGGCGGUUGGGGAUGGACUCGCGGCUUAUCAGCUUGUUGGUGGGGUAGUGGCUUACCAAGGCUUUGACGGGUAGCCGGCCUGAGAGGGUGACCGGCCACAUUGGGACUGAGAUACGGCCCAGACUCCUACGGGAGGCAGCAGUGGGGAAUAUUGCACAAUGGGCGGAAGCCUGAUGCAGCAACGCCGCGUGCGGGAUGACGGCCUUCGGGUUGGAAACCGCUUUCGCCUGUGACGAAGCGUGAGUGACGGUAAUGGGUAAAGAAGCACCGGCUAACUACGU